rnacentral:rRNA from 1 species
AUUGAACGCUGGCGGCAUGCUUUACACAUGCAAGUCGAACGGUAACAGGCCUUCGGGUGCUGACGAGUGGCGUACGGGUGAGUAAUGCAUCGGAACGUGCCCAGAGGUGGGGGAUAACGCAGCGAAAGCUGUGCUAAUACCGCAUGUGAUCUGAGGAUGAAAGCGGGGGACCAGGCAGCAAUGUUUGGCCUCGCGCCUGUGGAGCGGCCGAUGUCAGAUUAGGUAGGUGGUGGGGUAAAGGCCUACCAAGCCGACGAUCUGUAGCUGGUCUGAGAGGACGACCAGCCACACUGGGACUGAGAAACGGCCCAGACUCCUACGGGAGGCAGCAGUGGGGAAUUUUGGACAAUGGGCGCAAGCCUGAUCCAGCAAUGCCGCGUGCGGGAAGAAGGCCUUCGGGUUGUAAACCGCUGUUGUACGGAACGAAAAGGCUCUGGCUAAUACCUGGGGAUGAUGACGGUACCGUAAGAAUAAGCACCGGCUAACUACGUG